rnacentral:rRNA from 1 species
ACAGGCCUACGGGGGGCAGCAGUAGGGAAUUUUGCGCAAUGGGCGAAAGCCUGACGCAGCAACACCGCGUGAAUGUUAAGCCCUUCGGGGUGUAAAGUUCUGUCAGUAGGGAAGAACAAAUGACUGUACCUACAAAGGAAGCACCGGCUAACUCCGUGCCAGCAGCCGCGGUAAUACGGGGGGUGCAAGCGUUGUCCGGAAUCAUUGGGCGUAAAGCGUUCGUAGGCGGUAAAGUAAGUCAGAUGUUAAAGCCCGGGGCUCAACUCCGGUUCGGCAUUUGAUACUACUUAACUAGAAUGCGGUAG